UCUGUGUGUCUAAUUGAAAUCUGAACGGUCAGCGUUGCGGCUGACAAGCGCAGCCUACACGAGACGUCAGUAAAAAUAGCCCCUGUGGAUUGUCGUGGAUUUUAAUUUCUCGAAUGGAUAGCUUGAUACGUAGCUGACAAGCGCUCCUGGCACGUUUCUUUUAUUGGAAACGCAUGAGAUAGAUACUACUGUUUGGCUGAUAACUCGACAGAAGGGAAUCACGGAGGAAACGAGUGCUCUUGGACGAAUGAUUCUUACGUAGGAGAUUUAUGGCUUAAACACACGGCUCAAGUAGUACUGGUUUUAAGCAGACAUUUUCAUCGACUUCCUGUUGUGGUAACAAGAUUUUAAUUUACUUUAACACUCAG